rnacentral:rRNA from 1 species
AUGCAAGUCGAACGGUAACAGGAUGUGCUUGCACAUCGCUGACGAGUGGCGGACGGGUGAGUAAUGCUUGGGAACUUGCCUUUGCGAGGGGGAUAACAGUUGGAAACGACUGCUAAUACCGCAUAAUGUCUUCGGACCAAACGGGGCUUAGGCUCCGGCGCAAAGAGAGGCCCAAGUGAGAUUAGCUAGUUGGUAAGGUAAUGGCUUACCAAGGCGACGAUCUCUAGCUGUUCUGAGAGGAAGAUCAGCCACACUGGGACUGAGACACGGCCCAGACUCCUACGGGAGGCAGCAGUGGGGAAUAUUGCACAAUGGGGGAAACCCUGAUGCAGCCAUGCCGCGUGUGUGAAGAAGGCCUUCGGGUUGUAAAGCACUUUCAGUUGUGAGGAAAAGUUAGUAGCUAAUACCUGCUAGCCGUGACGUUAACAACAGAAGAAGCACCGGCUAACUCCGUGCCAGCAGCCGCGGUAAUACGGAGGGUGCGAGCGUUAAUCGGAAUUACUGGGCGUAAAGCGCACGCAGGCGGUUUGUUAAGCUAGAUGUGAAAGCCCC